rnacentral:rRNA from 1 species
GACGAACGCUGGCGGCGUGCCUAAUACAUGCAAGUAGAACGCUGAAGCGAGGAGCUUGCUCUUCUUUGAUGAGUUGCGAACGGGUGAGUAACGCGUAGGGAACCUGCCUUGUAGCGGGGGAUAACUAUUGGAAACGAUAGCUAAUACCGCAUAACAAUGGAUGACACAUGUUAUUUAUUUGAAAGGGGCAAUUUCUCCACUACAAGAUGGACCUGCGUUUUAUUAGCUAGUAGGUGAGGUAAUGGCUCACCUAGGCGACGAUACAUAGCCGACCUGAGAGGGUGAUCGGCCACACUGGGACUGAGACACGGCCCAGACUCCUACGGGAGGCAGCAGUAGGGAAUCUUCGGCAAUGGGGGCAACACUGACCGAGCAACGCCGCGUGAGUGAAGAAGGGUUUCGGAUCGUAAAGCUCUGUUGUAAGUCAAGAACGGGUGUGAGAGUGGAAAGUUCACACUGUGACGGUAGCUUACCAGAAAGGGACGGCUAACUACGUG